AUGUCACUGCUUAGUAGAUUCUUCUACAAGAGGCCUCCCGAUGGACUACUGGAGUUCAUUGACAGGAUCUAUGUUUUUGAUUCAUGCUUCUGCACUGAAGUUUUGCCGCAUGGAAUGUACCCAGUCUAUUUGAAUGGAAUUCUUACAGAGUUGCAUGAAGAGCAUGCAGAAUCUCAAUUUCUGGCGAUUAACUUCAGAGAUGGGGAUAAGAGAAGCCAGCUUGCUGAUAUCCUACAUGAAUAUGAUAUUCCAGUAAUUGACUACCCACGUCAUUUUGAAGGCUGUCCAGUGCUUCCUCUAUCUCUUAUACAGCAUUUUCUUCGUGUCUGUGAACACUGGCUAUCUACUGGGAACAGCCAAAAUAUCGUACUACUCCAUUGUGAGAGAGGGGGCUGGCCAUCAUUGGCAUUUCUGCUAUCUUGUUUUCUUAUUUUCAAGAAGUUGCACAGUGCAGAACAUAGAACUCUGGACAUUGUUCACCGUGAGGCCCCUAAAGGGUUCCUACAGCUAUUUUCUGCACUCAACCCAAUGCCGUCUCAGCUUCGAUAUAUGCAGUAUGUAGCCAGAAGAAAUAUCUCUCCAGAGUGGCCUCCUAUGGAGCGGGCGCUCUCUUUGGAUUGUCUGAUCCUUCGAGCUAUUCCAAAUUUUGAUUCUGAUAAUGGAUGUAGGCCAUUGAUCCGAAUUUUCGGUCGAAAUCUUCUUGGCAAGAAUGCUAGCAUGACUGACAUGAUUUUUUCAAUGCCUAAGAAGAAGUCCUUGCGCCACUAUCGACAGGAGGACUGUGAUGUGAUAAAAAUUGAUAUCCAGUGUCCAGUCCAGGGAGAUGUUGUUCUGGAGUGCGUACAUCUUGAUCUUGAUCCAGGAAAGGAAGUUAUGAUGUUCCGGAUAAUGUUCAAUACUGCUUUUAUCCGUUCAAAUGUACUGAUGCUGAAUAGUGAUGAUGUUGAUAUACUCUGGGGUUCAAAAGAUCGGUACCCGAAGAAUUUUAGAGCAGAGGUACUGUUUUGUGAAAUUGGGGGCAUUUCUCCUCCAAGGGCUCCAACAGUAACAUUGAAUGGUGAUAUGAAAGGUGGUUUACCAAUUGAAGCCUUUUCAGCUGUUCAAGAACUCUUCAAUGAUGUUGAAUGGAUGGAAAGCGGUGACAAUGCUGCUUUUUGGUUGCUCAAAGAAUUCUCAGCAAACUCUCUGCAAGAUAAAUUUCAAAAGCUAAUACUCAGCGACAUGAAAGAGCUUUCGAAGUUCCAAGCUAAAGUUGGCCUCCAGAUGCCACCAAUGUCUCCACUGGAUUCUGAUGAAGAAAAAUAUUCUGCGGCUUCUGAUUCCGGUUAUUCAGUAGAUUAUGAGAAGGUUCAACAUGGUGGGAACUCAUCUGACUCAGAGAACAUUGAUCGUUCUCUUACCACUGAAGAUUCUGAAUCUAUUGGUACAUCUAUUUACACAAGUUAUUUUUCUUGUUGA
rnacentral:rRNA from 1 species